rnacentral:rRNA from 1 species
CCCGGUGACCAUACGCGUCAGGAAACACACGUUCCCAUUCCGAACACGACCGUUAAGCUGACGCGGCCGAUGAUAGUGCCCACAAGCGCGAAAGUAGGUCAUUGCCGGGU